rnacentral:rRNA from 1 species
GACGAACGCUGGCGGCGUGCCUAAUACAUGCAAGUAGAACGCUGAAGCUUGGUGCUUGCACCGAGCGGAUGAGUUGCGAACGGGUGAGUAACGCGUAGGUAACCUGCCUGGUAGCGGGGGAUAACUAUUGGAAACGAUAGCUAAUACCGCAUAAUAGUAGAUGUUGCAUGACAUUUGCUUAAAAGGUGCAAUUGCAUCACUACCAGAUGGACCUGCGUUGUAUUAGCUAGUUGGUGAGGUAACGGCUCACCAAGGCAACGGUACAUAGCCGACCUGAGAGGGUGAUCGGCCACACUGGGACUGAGACACGGCCCAGACUCCUACGGGAGGCAGCAGUAGGGAAUCUUCGGCAAUGGACGGAAGUCUGACCGAGCAACGCCGCGUGAGUGAAGAAGGUUUUCGGAUCGUAAAGCUCUGUUGUAAGAGAAGAACGAGUGUGAGAGUGGAAAGUUCACACUGUGACGGUAUCUUACCAGAAAGGGACGGCUAACUACGUG